AACGGGUGCGUAACACGUGGAUACAUUCCGGGAAGCGGGGGAUAGCCCAGGGAAACUUGGAUUAAUACCGCAUGUGGUCGAAAGACUAAAGGUGGGGACCGCAAGGCCUGCCACUUCCCGAUUGGUCCGCGGCCUAUCAGCUUGUUGGUGAGGUAAUGGCUCACCAAGGCUACGACGGGUAGCUGGUCUUAGAGGACGACCAGCCACACUGGAACUGAGACACGGUCCAGACACCUACGGGUGGCAGCAGUCGAGAAUCUUUCACAAUGGGGGCAACCCUGAUGGAGCGACGCCGCGUGGAGGAUAAGGUCUUCGGAUUGUAAACUCCUGUCAUGCGAGAACAAGGUACUCAGGUUAAUAACCUGAUUGUUUGAUGGUACCGCAAGAGGAAGAGACGGCUAACUCUGUGCCAGCAGCCGCGGUAAUACAGAGGUCUCAAGCGUUGUUCGGAAUCACUGGGCGUAAAGGGUGCGUAGGCUGCGCCGUAAGUCAGAUGUGAAAGCUCAGGGCUCAACCCUGAA
rnacentral:rRNA from 1 species